rnacentral:lncRNA from 1 species
GUUUUGGCAUUUGAUAUUGAAAAACAGAUCCACCUGAUGUAGUAAAAAAUUAAAAAAAUGAAUGUUUGACUUUGAUUCAUGUUGCAAAGUUGUCGUAAUAAAUGUCAAAGUUUGUUGUUCAGGACUUCAACAAUGCAAUUUCCAUUAUCUUAAUCUCCUUUAGUUCCAUGUGAGUGUUUAAUANGUCUAUGCCUUUAGGAUGAUUUUAUUGGGAUGGAUUUUAUUGGGUCAUGUUUGUUUACUGACUGAUAGUUUGUAAUUUAUAUGUAGUGGUUAGAAGUAAAUUUAAUGGUUCCACGUCUUUAAUUUAGUUUUAGAAUUUCUUUUGUAAAUGCUAUCAUCACUUUGUCCUAAUUCCUAAGCAUGAGUAGGCGGUAUUUAAAUUUGGCAUUCUGGCUUAUCCUGACCAAGAUAGUGUUGUUCUGAAAUCAACCAGUGAUUAAACCAAUGACCAAUUAUUACUAUAGAAGAAAUCCAUUAUAAAACUAAGCAAAAUCUACACAUCCUAACUGAUGUUGGUAUAUUUAG